rnacentral:rRNA from 1 species
AGUGAACGCUGGCGGUAGGCCUAACACAUGCAAGUCGAACGGCAGCACAGUAAGAGCUUGCUCUUACGGGUGGCGAGUGGCGGACGGGUGAGGAAUACAUCGGAAUCUACUUUUUCGUGGGGGAUAACGUGGGGAAACUUACGCUAAUACCGCAUACGACCUACGGGUGAAAGCAGGGGAUCUUCGGACCUUGCGCGAUUGAAUUAGCCGAUGUCGGAUUAGCUAGUUGGCGGGGUAAAGGCACACCAAGGCGACGAUCCGUAGCUGGUCUGAGAGGAUGAUCAGCCACACUGGAACUGAGACACGGUCCAGACUCCUACGGGAGGCAGCAGUGGGGAAUAUUGGACAAUGGGCGCAAGCCUGAUCCAGCCAUACCGCGUGGGUGAAGAAGGCCUUCGGGUUGUAAAGCCCUGUUGUUGGGAAAGAAAAGCAGCAGGUUAAUACCCCGCUGUUCUGACGGUACCCAAAGAAUAAGCACCGGCUAACUUCGUG